UGUGUUGUGUGAUGGGCCCGGUCACAAAGUCAGUUCAUGACAUUUCGCCACGUGUCCCAUGAUGAUGAAACUCAUCCUUUUGCUCAUCUCCAGAUCGAAAAAAUUGAAACGUCGUGAAGAUAAACUGAAACGAAUCGUCGUCUUCAACACCUUCAUUAACCAUUGAUUUACACUUCUCACACGAUCUAUUACUGAUUGCAUACUUCCAUCAUCAGAAUCUUCGACUAUAAAAAGAUUAUUAUUCAGAGCUUUUGUUUGUGAGAGAUGAUAGUGGGAGACUGGGAAUGGAUUUUUUUUUAUUAGAUUCAGGUAAGGUACUUCACCCUCCUAUAAUCCUCGAUGGCAGACUCAGAAUAAUCUUGAGAGCAAGUAUUCAUGGUUCGGUGAUAACUACCGCUCCGUCGAUGAGGUUGCUUCUGCUCUUUCACAUGCUGGUUUGGAGUUCAUCGAGUGGGCUGAAAGUAACAGUGUUCGUUUUCUGGGGAUUUUCUACGGGUUGCAGCUGGUUGUGCAGAAGCUCGGGGGUGUUGUGGUGGAAGGGGAGCGUAAGGAGUAUGGGAAGAUGUAGAUUGAGGUGAAGGGUGAUGAGAGUGAGAUUUUUAGUGAGGGGAGGGUUGGUGAGAAGCAGGUUGUUUGGAUGAGUCAUGGGGAUGAGGCUGUUGAGCUUCCUGAUGGGUUUGAGGUUGUGGCGAGGAGUUCUCAGGGAGAUGUUUUUGCUUUGGAGAACAGGGAGAGGAGGAUUUAUGGUUUGCAGUAUCAUCCUGAGGUUGCUUCUGCUCUUUCAAUUUCAGUGAUACACUCUGUAAUAGGUUUGAAGAAGUUCUCAUGUGUUAAAAGAGAUAUUGCAGAUCCGACAAAAAGGGCAUGACGUUUGUGGAAGAAAAGUUGAGGCCAGUACCAUGUUCUUCUCAGUUCUUCAUUGAACUUUCAUGUCUCUUUUUAUUUAGUGUUAGAUGGAUUUCUAAGUAAUCAGUAGUGCGUGCCUUAUUACAAUCUAAAUUUGAUGUGCUGUGUCAAAUGUCUAGCUUACAAUGUUUAUUUUAUAAUCUUGGCAGGUUUGACGAUCAAAUCGGACUGAACGGAAAGACUUUAGCCGACGGAGAAACAAAGAUUAGUUUACAAUUGUAAUAGCUCCCACGUGCAUCACAUGGUCUGUAGAAGUUAAAAUUUCUGGCUUAGGAUAUUAACAGGAUUUUAUCCCUGGACGAAAUGCAUGUAGGGUGUCAUCGCAAAAUGGUUACGAAACUGCACGAGCCCAUUUUUCAGUUUUUCUCCUUAUUUUUACAAUGUUUAAUAUUUCCUUUAUUAUUCACUUCAAAAUUGUAAUUCCAUUUUAUAUAAUUAUAAAAUAUGUUCAUUAGGCCUAUUA